GCCCCAGUAGCUCAGCGGUAGAGCGGCCGACUUGUAAUCGGCAGGUCAAGGGUUCGAAUCCCUUCUGGGGCU
rnacentral:tRNA from 1 species